GCAGGGGCAUGGGACUAGAUGAUCUUGAAAGGUCCCUUCCAACCUGGGCCAUUCUAUGAUUCUCCAUGGCCCAGAAAUAGCUGGAAUAGAGAGCAGAUGUCCAUGCAUUGCUUGGGGUAAGUUGGGUGGCCCUCUGCAGCAAGGGCUUUCCAAAACUGAAAAAAAAAUCCAAUUUUGAAUGCUAGCACUUUAUUUUUUUGAUAGGAACAGUCAUUUUUAGACCUAUUAAUGCCACUAAGCUGUGGCUGGAACAGAGUUUCUCUGCAAGUGUGUCAAGAGUCGUGACCAGAUCUCCCAGAACUUAUGUUAUUUCUCAGCAGCUCUCAAAGACCUACUGGGGUGAGCAAAAUCUGCCUGCGGGGAGCAGAAAAAACAUGGGAAGCUGUCUGACCCCAGCACCAUAGGGCAUGAUAGUACUCUAUACUCUUUUCUAAUCACUGUAGUGGUUUAGAAUUUCCUUCAACUUGGAUCUCAUUCUUUCAACUAAGACCUUCCUUCUGCCAAGGUCCCCAGAGUCUCUGGCACAUGUGGGGAGAUGCUUCGAGGAACUCAGUCACAGCAAACCAGAAGGAAAGCCACACUGCUGUCAGACCAUGCUGUAACAAGCAAGCAGGGACCAGGGCUCUGCCUCCACCCUGGGUCGCUCUGCCUGUGCCCUGGCUCCCCUCACAGAGUUUCUCUCUGAGGCUGUAUUUGAUGACUGGACCAGGUAACAGCUCUACCACCCAUUUCAGGCUCUCCUAAAGGAAAGCCUAAGUAUUAACAAUUACAGAAAUUGACUAACCAAAAAAGUAAGACCUUAACUGAAUGUAUUGUUAGGUUGCGAGAAAUCUCUCUUGAGUGAACAAAGCGAAUGAAUUAGCUUCUGAAAUAGCCAAGAGAGAAGCAUGUUUCUGCACCUGGAACAAAGGUGCAAUGGGUUUCACAGGUAAACUUUACAGCAUCACCAACAGAAAAGGAGGAGCUGCGGGAACCCAGGAAGGUCCAGAAAGGAGUGGUGCAGCUGGGACAGUCGCUGCACCAGGGAAAAGAUGGGAGAAAGAAGUUUGGGGAUGCAAGGAGGGGCCUCAAACCGUGCCAUGGUCUUGCAGGCUUUCUCUGUGCCAUGAAAUGAUGUGUGUUCAGUACUGUGCUCUGACCACAGAGACGACCAGGACAGAGCAGCUCACAAACUGAAACAUAUCUGUCUGAUUUUCAUACCAUGCAGAACAGGACGGUGGUACCCAGCCAGCUUCCCAGCCUGCCCAAGAAUCAAUGGGACUGUGUUCCUCUCUCUGUGUCAAACCUUUACCCAGCAGCACACCAAAACAAGGUGGUGGCAAUGGGACUGGUACCUAGGAAGGCACAAUUGCAGUUUAAUUGCCUGGUGUCAGUGUAACUCUAUUUUGAUCCAUCCUUUGCUCAAGGAAAAUAGGACACUAGAUCAUUUGCAGGACUGAAGCAGAAAAUGAGGAAGGCUGCAUUUGACAGAGGAUGGAAACAAUCUGGAAAGAAAAUGGCUCAGUGUUAACAUACUCACUGCAGGGAAGUGUACCCCAGGACUGCCUAGACAGUGAAGAGACAUGUCUGAGGCUUUGCAGCUUCCCCCUGGACUGUCCUGCCAUUUCCUCAGCCUGCAGGUUGCUGUGCUUUGAGUCAUGAUUUACUCUUCCUGCAUGCAUGGAAGUAGUUUACCUUCUCACAGCCAAAGCCUGCCUGCCUUGAGCUGCCUUGCCAGACAAACGGAAGACAAACAGGCAGAUGGGCUCACAGAUGAAACUUCAAAACCAGAUUUAACUUAGCAGAUGUACUCAAGCCAGAUGCAACCCUGAGGCAGGUCUCAGCUCAUGAGAGGACAGAUGAAGGGCCACCUUCAUCAGCCACAGGAUGCCGAGUACGGCUUUCUCAGCUGGAAAGGCAGAGGUAGCCAGAGCUGUGGCCGCAGCCAGAGGAGCACACCAAGUGUGCAACCACCUGACAGGACGGACCACCUCUGCCUACUCUGCUCUGCAGCGUCAGAAGGGAUUCACUCUUCCAGUAUCCAAACUGCAAGUGGAUCAGUGCUCAUCAAUUUGCAAGACCAGGGAACCUACCGCUGAGCUGAAGGUUUGGCUGUACAACGACACAGUGUGGUGUGUGACCACAAGCAAUGCCAGUCUGAUUGCAAAACACAGCAUUAAGCCAACAGAUAGGUUUGAGAACAAAUGCAUUUUCCUUCAGAAAAUGAUUCCUUUUCAUGGAUUUAGAAUGGCUACAGGACAGAAAUCCUCAACAAUGCCUGUGUCAGCACAGGGGUAGCUGGGAAGGCUUCCUUGUGUGCAGACUGUUUCUCUCACAGGAUGAAGCUGUUUGAGACUCCAGCACCAUUAAGAUGUGUAUGGAGUGCACCUCUUGGCUGCAUGGAACAGCUAAGACCACAGCUUGGUGAGAAGCAGAAAGAUGAGCAAAGAACUGUGAAAUCCAUCACCAUGUUUCAUAUAAACAAAGCCAGGGAGACAAUAUAAAAAUUGGCAACAAAAAACAAACAAACAAACAAGUAUUGUUAAGGAUAUGAUUUGAUGCUCAGAAAAAUUUUCCUUGAAAAAUAAUAGUAGGGACAGGUAGGACAACUUCCUCUGGGAAACAAAGCAUAGUGUAGACCUGUAGAGCCCACAGGCUGAAGAAUGUGGGCCAUUCUGCCAGAGCAUUGAUCCUGCAGCAAAGACUUCCCUUCCAGUUGUUCUCCUGGGGGGGAAUCAGAACCAUCCAUAAGAUUUUCUUUUCACCUUCCUCACACUUGCAAGAAUGAUGUGCACUUUUGCAGACAAAGCCUUGAGUCACCGCUCGGAAGUUGUUCUCCGAGGGCUCUGACUACAGGGACUGAGCCACUUUGCAGUGAAGGGCCAUGACAGAAAGCUGAAAUCAUUACACCCUCUUCUUUCCUGCUCGAAAUAAACAUCUCUGCAGUUCAGGAACUGGUCAGAGGAAAAGAAACAGCAGAGAAGCGUAAAAAUGUAGACAGUUGCUGCUGCUGUCACCAUUGCUGGACAUCUCCUUCCCAAAUGAGACCUCGAGGUGACACCCAGCUUGCCCGAGCCCCUUCCUUACCAUAGUGCAAGUAUGAGGGAACAGGAAGAACUGGGGCUAAUGUAACUUUUGAGUUACAUUCUCAUCUUUUACUUCCAGCAUUCACUUCAUGCACAGCUUGCAACACCAACAGAGAAACACCUAGCCCAUUCCUUCUGCUGACAGCUGCUGGAGGCCAUGCUGGAACAGAAGUACAGACUGUUGUUCCCAGAGUCUUCCACUUGGCUAGACAUAAAACCUAAUCCAGAUGGAUUUUCACAGUUCUGGAAUGGACAUCUAUGAAACCUGCAAAUUCAUAAUUUUUUUAUGAUUUAAAACCAGUCACAUUGCACGCAUUUUAUUUAAUAAAAGUUAAAAACAGGUACAAAAAAUGCGAUUCCAUUUCCUUAAAAUAUAGGUUCAAAAUAAAAAGACUGAACGAUAGAGUUCAGGCAGUAAAGUGCAAAGAGAUCAGCUAUCCCAGUCAUGCGUACUCCAUAAAUAACCCUUACACAGCAGGAAGGAACAGAGCACACAGAGCAGACACAGCCACACCACGGCACAGCUAUUCAUGCACAUUCACAAGAGAACGAUCUGCAUGUCCCGGACACAGGUGGUGGGAGGCAGCCCUUGCAGGCCAUGUAAACCCAACAAGGAGAGAGCCAUUGCUUUUCCACAUCAUGACACACAUACAUGACACACUUUUCAAAAUUCUGUGUUCUCUGGUCCAUCAUUUUCCUCCCAUGAUGCAACUAAUAUGACAAUUUACUUAAUUAUGACAUGAGUUUUCAAACUGUUUUGCUCAGGUUUACACCACAGAUGGAUGGUCUGUAAAAAAAAAUGAAGUACUAAACUGGCUACUGAACUGAGACAGGACAUGCUUCCCCUGGUUAAAAGCAAGUGAAAACAGCAUCCAAAAGCCAAACUUCUUGUUCUAAGGGAUUUCCAAGAAAA